rnacentral:tRNA from 1 species
GGGCUUUUGGCGCAUCUGGUAGCGCGCUUCCAUGGCAUGGAAGAGGUGAGGGGUUCGAGUCCCCUAAAGUCCACCA